rnacentral:rRNA from 1 species
CCUACGGGAGGCAGCAGUCGGGAAUUUUGGGCAAUGGGCGCAAGCCUGACCCAGCAACGCCGCGUGAAGGAUGAAGCAUUUCGGUGUGUAAACUUCAUAAGAAUGGGAAGAAUAAGGGUGGACGAAUACUCCAUCCGAUGACGGUACUAUUUGUAAGCUCCGGCUAACUCCGUGCCAGCAGCCGCGGUAAUACGGGGGGAGCAAGCGUUGUUCGGAUUUACUGGGCGUAAAGGGCGCGUAGGCGGUCUUUGUCAAGUCACUCGUGAAAUCUCCGGGCUUAACCCGGAGCGGCCGAGCGAUACUGACAGACUGGAGUGCGGAAGGGGCCACCGGAAUUCUCGGUGUAGCGGUGAAAUGCGUAGAUAUCGAGAGGAACACCUGCGGCGAAGGCGGGUGGCUGGGCCGACACUGACGCUGAGGCGCGAAAGCCAGGGGAGCGA